GACGAACGCUGGCGGCGUGCUUAACACAUGCAAGUCGAACGAUGAAGAAAAGAAUCGCAGCUUCGGCAGAAAUUCAUUUCGGAUUAGUGGCAGACGGGUGAGUAACGCGUGAGCAACCUACCUCUUACAAAGGGAUAGCCUCGGGAAACCGGGAUUAAUACCAUAUAACAUUGUGACGAAGCAUUUCGAUGCAAUCAAAGCUACGGCGGUAAGAGAUGGGCUCGCGUCCCAUUAACCGGAUGGUGAGGUAACGGCUCACCAUAGUGACGAUGGGUAACCGGCCUGAGAGGGUGAACGGUCACACUGGAACUGAGACACGGUCCAGACUCCUACGGGAGGCAGCAGUGGGGAAUAUUGCACAAUGGAGGGAACUCUGAUGCAGCGACGCCGCGUGAGUGAUGAAGGAAUUCGUUUCGUAAAACUCUGUUCUAUGGGAAGAAAAGGACUGUACCAUAGGAGAAAGCUCCGGCUAAAUACGUG
rnacentral:rRNA from 1 species